UGUAACUGUCAAUAAGAAAGUGAGUUAAUAAUAUAAAAAUAAAUAGAAGAAAAGAAAGUGUUGUAUGGAUCGUGAUUAAUAAAAGUGGAUAAAAAAUUAAAAGUUUAAACACACCGCUCAAGUGUGACCCUCACGACUCGACUGGAAAACGUUGUUGGAAUGGAGAAGUGUUUAUUCAUGGCGCGCAGGUUUUUAGUUCUGAAGUGAGGGUCGUCGUCGUGGACGUUGUUAUUCGGCGUCGCGACGCCACCGACCAAGUUAUCAACAGAUAAUGAUUGUGGGGUUCGACUCAGUUUAAAGCGCAAACUCGAAAAAUAUGUGCCUAACAAUAGUUUUUUGAAUGAAAAGUAUUGCUUUUUAGAAUUAAAAAGGAUUAAGAUAAGAUGUGCAUUGAAGUCCAUAUAGACGUUCUAUAUUUGCUUGUUUAUUGACUUAGGUUAUCAAUAAUUACUAUGACUUAGUA